rnacentral:rRNA from 1 species
ACGGAAGGCAGCAGUGGGGAAUAUUGCACAAUGGGGGAAACCCUGAUGCAGCGACGCCGCGUGAGUGAAGAAGUAUUUCGGUAUGUAAAGCUCUAUCAGCAGGAAAGAAAGUGACGGUACCUGACUAAGAAGCCCCGGCUAACUACGUGCCAGCAGCCGCGGUAAUACGUAGGGGGCAAGCGUUAUCCGGAUUUACUGGGUGUAAAGGGAGCGUAGACGGCUUUGCAAGUCUGAAGUGAAAGCCCGGGGCUCAACCCCGGAACUGCUUUGGAAACUGUAGAGCUAGAGUGCAGGAGAGGUAAGUGGAAUUCCUAGUGUAGCGGUGAAAUGCGUAGAUAUUAGGAGGAACACCAGUGGCGAAGGCGGCUUACUGGACUGUAACUGACGUUGAGGCUCGAAGGCGUGGGGAGCAAACAGGAUUAGAUACCCUGGUA